UCACAAUAAAACUGACAAAAAUUUGUUUGUUUAAAUAGCUCAAUGAAACCUACAAUCUAAAUUCAGAUUGUCACAGUUAAUACAAGCAUACAAACAAACUAAUCAGCAAGGUUUACCAGAACAAAAUUGUAAAGAAAAAGGAACCUUCAAUUGGUCCGCGGAGCAAUCAAAAUUCCUGAGUCCAGACUAUAGGAGCACAAGCCCAAGUUCUGCAGGCUUCAAUGUUUGUCUAAUCCUAUAGUUGUAAAGAUAGUAGUGCAGUUUCCCAUCGCCAGGCCCAAAUUUCAGAUCCUUCAAGAAAGACUCAUUGUGCAUGACAUCUAGUGCAUUAAACACAUCAUAGUCUUUGCGUUUUGCAACAAUUAGAGCAUCAUUCAUCAACUGGAGCAAAGGAGUCUUAGUUGAAAUAUUGUAAUAAGAAUAUGCUGCCUUCAGAGCUGAAUAAUUCUGGUUGCCAAGAAUGGAGGAAGGAAGCGUGUAAAAACUGCAGAAAUCAGUGAUUUCAUGAGUUUCUGGACUUUCAACCAGAUAACUGUCCACAACAUCUUCUUUUGGCAGAAGCCAAUGCUCCACAUCAUUUUCAUCAAAAUCAGGCGCAGCUGCAAACUGGCUCAUAUAAUUCCUAAUUAGCCUAGUAAUUGCAGGAACAUCAUGGAACUCCAUCUUUCUAAAUCCUGGGGUAGCAGUUGACUCUGGUAACUUGUAAAGCUUGAUUGUUCGACUCAUAGUCAUCCUUGCACCAAGCCUAGAAAAACCAACAUCAAUCAGCUUCUUUGGAUUCAAAGAUCUAUGCCAAUA
rnacentral:misc_RNA from 1 species